rnacentral:lncRNA from 1 species
AGGCAGGUGCUCCUUAUUAGUAACUUCUGUCUGAACCACUAGCUUUGCAGCAGUUUGUAUGGAAUACAGAUUGCAUUCCUUAUGUUUCAGGAUACUGGUUGUCCUUCGUGUUGGAACAAAUUGUCACCUGAAUGAAUACAUUACAGCUGCAUCAGAAGUUGUCAAAGCAUUUAAAAAUGGAAGUGCUCAAGUGAACAUCAGUCGUUCUAACAACCCUUGGAAAAGUUGAAAAGUAAGAUGUUAGUGUUGCAAUUACCACAAUGGUUGUGACAAUUUGGAAGCAAAAUUCAAGAUCUUAAUGCACAGCAGGAGUAUGGUCCCAAGUUCUGGAAGGAGAGGCCUAGUUCAGGCUGUACACUUACAUGAGGAAUGAAUUCCUGCAGAUUCACAGAUAUUAGUAUCUCUGGACAUGACCACCAGCAAAAUAAAACAGUAUUCAUCUCAAACAUGAAUCAUUUUGAAGGAGUCCAGAACUUAAAUGAAGAGUCUUUCCACCUCAUUGUCAUGGAGAGAGUUGUUUUCCUUCACCAUCGUGUCAGAGACACUAAAGAGACAUAAAUUGUCCCUUCUUGCUGUGGGUGGUGGGCUGCUGGAAUUCCCAGCAGCAGCUGGACAGUCACUGCUUUCUUCUCUUCAAACCUGAGUGUGAUGCAUCAGAGUCUACCUACAGCAGGACAUACUGAGAGCCAAGUGCUGACUUAGUUGAUAUGCCUUUGAAGACUGAAUAUUCAUCUCAUGGAUUUGUGGUAGCAAAUCUGCUUCUGACGAGGGCCAGAUAAAAUCCUGCAUGCCUAUGUAACUAGAGAGGCUGGAAAUGGAAUUGAUCUGAAAAAUAUUUUUUUUCCAGUUAAAAAGUGUCAAGUUCUGAAAAAGAACUAUUGAAAACAGACAUAUUUUAGUUAGAAAUAGUACAAGUCCUCAUGGGAGAUGGAGCCUGAAGAACAUAAUUUCUGGUUUCAAAAAAUCUCUAAGUUUUCCCUCAAAAGAGCAGUGUAGACAGCGUUGUAGACUAGAAAUUACAAUGAAGAAAGCCAGAUUUAAUCUACCUCUCUUAGCAAUUAUAUGCAGGACAAUGCCUACAUUCCCUUAUUCUUGAAAAGGCUUUGAAAAACAAUCUUGAGACUGAACAUCAUUCUCCAUUCAGAAAACUACAUUAGCCUAAUGCUGCUACCUCAAGAAAUGAACAAAGGGCCAAUUCUCCCCAACUUCCCUUCUGUGUUUCUGCAAAUUAGAAACAAACCUGGCAUAUUUUUGGAGCAGCAUCGAUAGUCUAAAUCCAGAUUUUUUUCCCUGGACUUGAAAAUCCUGCAGAAACUACUGUGGCAGUUCUAUUUCCAGAAAUAAAUAUCAGAGAUACAUGAGGUCUCA